GUAGGGUGCGAGCGUUAAUCGGAAUUACUGGGCGUAAAGCGUGCGCAGGCGGUUUUGUAAGACCGAUGUGAAAUCCCCGGGCUCAACCUGGGAACUGCAUUGGUGACUGCAAGGCUGGAGUGCGGCAGAGGGGGAUGGAAUUCCGCGUGUAGCAGUGAAAUGCGUAGAUAUGCGGAGGAACACCGAUGGCGAAGGCAAUCCCCUGGGCCUGCACUGACGCUCAUGCACGAAAGCGUGGGGAGCAAAC
rnacentral:rRNA from 1 species